UACGGAGGGGACUAGUGUUGUUCGGAAUUACUGGGCGUAAAGCGUGCGCAGGCGGUUCGUUGUGUCGGCGGUGAAAGCCCCGGGCUUAACCUGGGAAUGGCCGUCGAAACUGGCGAACUGGAGUGUGGCAGAGGGGGGUGGAAUUCCGCGUGUAGCAGUGAAAUGCGUAGAGAUGCGGAGGAACACCGAUGGCGAAGGCAGCCCCCUGGGCUGACACUGACGCUCAGGCACGAAAGCGUGGGGAGCAAACAGG
rnacentral:rRNA from 1 species